UACGGGGGGGGCAAGCGUUGUUCGGAAUUACUGGGCGUAAAGGGCGCGUAGGCGGCCUUCUAAGUCGAACGUGAAAUCCCCCGGCUUAACCUGGGAACUGCGUCUGAUACUGGGAGGCUUGAGUAUGGGAGAGGGAUGUAGAAUUCCAGGUGUAGCGGUGAAAUGCGUAGAUAUCUGGAGGAAUACCGGUGGCGAAGGCGGCAUCCUGGACCGGCAUUGACGCUGAGGAGCGAAAGCCAGGGGAGCAAACGGG
rnacentral:rRNA from 1 species